GGGCGUGCGCCGGAGUCGGAGAGCCGGGGCAGACUGUAAAUCUGUUGGCUUUUGCCUUAGAUGGUUCGACUCCAUCCACUCCCACCA
rnacentral:tRNA from 1 species